rnacentral:rRNA from 1 species
AUUGAACGCUGGCGGCAUGCUUUACACAUGCAAGUCGAACGGUAACAGGCCGCAAGGUGCUGACGAGUGGCGAACGGGUGAGUAAUGCAUCGGAACGUGCCCAGUCGUGGGGGAUAACGCAGCGAAAGUUGCGCUAAUACCGCAUACGAUCUAUGGAUGAAAGCGGGGGACCGUAAGGCCUCGCGCGAUUGGAGCGGCCGAUGUCAGAUUAGGUAGGUGGUGGGGUAAAGGCUCACCAAGCCGACGAUCUGUAGCUGGUCUGAGAGGACGACCAGCCCAACUGGGACGGAGACCCGGCCCAGACUCCUACGGGAGGCAGCAGUGGGGAAUUUUGGACAAUGGGCGCAAGCCUGAUCCAGCAAUGCCGCGUGCAGGAAGAAGGCCUUCGGGUUGUAAACUGCUUUUGUACGGAACGAAACGGUCCUGGUUAAUACCCGGGGCUAAUGACGGUACCGUAAGAAUAAGCACCGGCUAACUACGUGCCAGCCGCCGCAGUAA